AAGUUUCGUUUUCAAAACAUAAUGUCAUUGUUUAUUAAUUAUGAUACUCUAUAAAUGCUGUGGUACUCUAAAUACUUUUUUCUACUUAUAUGAAUCAGUUGAGUUGAGUAAACUUUUAUUUGCAUAGUUUUGAAGAAGACUACAGGACAUAGUUUAAAUUUUUACAUAUCAACAGUGCAGUACUUUAUCUUAAGUAAUAUUUUCAGGCACUUUCUCCAACACUGCCUACAGUGGACCUGAUGUGAACUAGAAUGAAGUUGGCUGGACAUGAAAUUUACUGGACCUCAAGUAGUCUGUGGAAGCUUUAAGGACCAACAACACAUCUCGGUACGACAAGUGGAGACUCGACCGUACAGACCCGUCCGGUCUCGCACACGACGCCGUUAACGGCAAACGGAGAAACGCCGCCGCCGCCGACCCGCGGGAGGUACUUUCUCCAUCACUGCCUAAAGUGGACCUGAAAUUUUGGACCUGGUGUGAACUAGAAUGAAGUUGGCUGGAUAUAAAGUUAACUGGACCUGCAGUGAAGUGGACCUGAAGCUAACUGGACCUCAAGUAGUCUGUGUCACCCGACGGGAGUCAGAAACGUCAUUUUUGUGCGGACCGGCGACUCGACGGACCCCGGCCGAGGACGCCGCUCGAACCGCGGUUGCGGAGGAGCGCGCCGAUACGAGUCGGAGACGGCUCGUACAGUCGGCGCACGAGAGCGGUCCGGACGAAGACAUUCGGGAACCGAGGACGAAGACGCUCGUCGACUGCGGACGAAGACGCUCGUCGACUGCGGACGAAGACACCGGUCGACGCGCGAGGAAGAUGCUCCGGAACACGGGAAGAACGCCACACUCCCGAGUGCGGGAAGACACUCGUCAACGCAGAAGGAGACACGCAUCAAUGUCGGGCCGGCGCGAUUGUUUUAAAGACGAUUUAACGUGUAAAAUGAAUGUACGUGUUGUUUGUAACGAUUGUUAUAAUGUUUGUAGUAUUGUUUUUAGAGACCGACUCUGCGAAGACGGAGGAAGUCGAUACAUGUCGAGAAUGAAUUUAUUGAAGAUGUUGCCUGUGAUCACUAGGUGUUUGCACUAAUUUGGGGAGAUGAUUACGAUCGUAGAACGUCACGGAAUGCGGUGGGACGCAUCCGUAAAUAACGGCAGCAUAAAUACGAGAGAACGCGGUGGCGGCGGCGGGGAAGUGCGCCUUUUGAAAGUAAAAGAACGGGGGAGAUCGGACCGACAUAGAUGGUGUUGUUGUGGUAACCGAUAAGAAUGGAGAAAUGAUGACUAUUUGGGGGGUUUUUUAGGACAGAGAGAGUAGUUAUAUAUUAGUGAAGAUAUAAAGUAAAAGGUGAUAAGGAUGGUGGUGGGGGGGGGGACAACGAAUGAUAUAUUUUGUAGGGUAUUAAAGGAAUUGACUCGUCAGUGCCGAGUCGGCGUAAUUGUGAGAAACGGAUGCGACGGGGAUUGUAAAGAAGUCGCGCGGUAGAGGAAUUGGCGGAAGCGACGAUCGCAAUAACCUUUCGACGUGGGACGGACGACGACGAAUUUAGUAAAUGGCGGUUUAGGAAAGGGUCGUACGUAAAGCGGCGGGUGCGGAUACGGACGACGGUCGAUCGGGGUCCGUUUACGGGACGGGAAAGAGGACCGACGGAGAACGGACGGGAAUUCGGACGGAGACGAGGCGGCGCACAAACGAAAGUAUACCCGCGAGAUGCGUAAAGAAUGAUUUGGAA